CAGAGACUGCGACGCGUUAUUCGGAUUCACUGGGCGUAAAGGGUGCGCAGGCGGCCAAGUGUGUGAGGCGUGAAAGCCUGGAGCUUAACUCCAGAAUUGCACCUCAAACUACAUGGCUAGAGCAUUGGAGAGGGUAGCGGAAUUCACGGUGUAGCAGUGAAAUGCGUAGAUAUCGUGAGGAACACCAGAGGCGAAGGCGGCUACCUGGACAAUUGCUGACGCUCAGGCACGAAAGCGUGGGGAGCAAAAGGGAUUAGAUACCCCUGUAGUCCACGCCUUAAACGGUGCACACUAGGUCUUGGCGGAUUCGACCCCCCCAGGGCCCAAGCUAACGCGUUAAGUGUGCCGCCUGAGGACUACGGCCGCAAGGCUA
rnacentral:rRNA from 1 species